rnacentral:rRNA from 1 species
UACGAGGGGAGCAAGCGUUGUUCGGAUUUACUGGGCGUAAAGGGCGCGUAGGCGGCCAGCACAAGUCAGUUGUGAAAUCUCCGAGCUUAACUCGGAAAGGUCAACUGAUACUGUGCGGCUAGAGUGCGGAAGGGGCAACUGGAAUUCUUGGUGUAGCGGUGAAAUGCGUAGAUAUCAAGAGGAACACCUGCGGCGAAGGCGGGUUGCUGGGCCGACACUGACGCUGAUGCGCGAAAGCUAGGGGAGCGAACGGG